rnacentral:lncRNA from 1 species
GAGGUACACCUUAUCAAUUUUGUCUAUUCCCAUUACAUAAAAGCAACACUUCAAACAUUAUAUAUAGCAUACAUUAUGGCACCCCCCCAAUUUGCAUCUCUCUCAUUACCUUACUUAUAGUUUACACACAAUAGAGAGAGAGCGCUUGCUAAUGGAAUCCUCCAUCAGGUUUUUUAGAGUGGGCUUCCUUCUGCUAUCACUUGUCAUGACAACUGGUUUGAACUUUCUUUACCAUUAACUUCUUUAGUGUGUAUAUAUAUAUUUAUCGAUCAAAUUCAAAUAUAAAAGUUAAAAACUGCAAUUUUAUCGUUCUUUUGUAGGCUAAUACACAUAUAUUUCUUAACCUAAUUGCAGCAGAAAGUAGGCCAGAUUGCUAUAACGAUGUAUGCACUACUGAGUGCACAAAAAAAGUGGGUUAUACUGUUAACGGGUGUUGCUCUAAGGACGAAUGUUUCUGCAUUAGUGCCAAUACUGAUUGUUCAGAGGUUUUUCCCCCAGCAGGUGAAACCCUAGUCACUUUUACUCUCUUCGUUGUUUAUUUUUUUUAUUAUUAUUAUUUUUUUUCCCUCUCUGAGUCCCCAGUGUUUUUGUUUAAGCCUCCGUUAGGCAAAUUUAUAAAUAUUUUACAAAGAGGAAGAGUAGUGAGUCUUGUGAAAUGUGUUAAUAAUAAUUAGUAAUUAUAAAUUUGUUGUUAAAAUCAAAAUUAAUUUUAACUCAACUUAUAAUUGAACAUAAUAUAUGUAUGUAUGUAUGUAUGUG